rnacentral:sRNA from 1 species
CCAGCUCUUAGUGACUCUAGCCCUCUCCCACCCUCCUCUGCACCCUGCAUGCACUUGUGUUGCUGAAUGUGGCCGGAGAAAAACACAGCAAUCUUGACUGUUCUGUGAGACUUCAUAAAGGAUUUCCAGGGCUGUGUGGAAUCAAAAAAUCUUCCUGCAUUUUCCCAGCCAUCUGGCCUCCAGGAUGACUAUUUCACAUCUCCUCAAGCCUUUCACAUCUCAUCCCCCUCAUACCUGAUGAUUUUGCUUCCUAUUUCACUGGGAAAAUGAAGUAGAGACGGGGUUUCAUCAUGUUGGCCAGGCUGGUCUCGAUCUUCUGACCUCGUGAUCCACCCACCUCGGCCUCCCAAAGUGCUGGGAUUACAGGCGUGAGCCACCGCGCCCGGCCAAAGAGCCUAGAACCAUGCCUGGCACACAGUGGGCAUCUAGACCCUUUGCUGAGUGGUGAAAUUGAAGUGUGACAGGGUGCGUGGCUUCCCCGCUCAGGCUCCCUCAGUUCCCAAAGCUGUGCUCCUUCCUGGAUCUCACGUAGCACAAGGAGGCAUACGUGGGUCGCACCACAUGGCUUCUAGAGGAGUAUGUGUGAGUGUGUUCAUGUUCAU